GCCCACCAAACCGACGAUGGAUAGGGGUUCUGAGAGGAAGGUCCCCCACAUUGGUACUGAGACACGGACCAAACUCCUACGGGAGGCAGCAGUGAGGAAUAUUGGUCAAUGGGCGUAAGCCUGAACCAGCCAAGUCGCGUGAGGGAUGAAGGUUCUAUGGAUCGUAAACCUCUUUUAUAAGGGAAUAAAGUUCGGGACGUGUCCCGUUUUGUAUGUACCUUAUGAAUAAGGAUCGGCUAACUCCGUGCCAGCAGCCGCGGUAAUACGGAGGAUCCGAGCGUUAUCCGGAUUUAUUGGGUUUAAAGGGUGCGUAGGCGGCCUUUUAAGUCAGCGGUGAAAGUCUGUGGCUCAACCAUAGAAUUGCCGUUGAAACUGGGGGGCUUGAGUAUGUUUGAGGCAGGCGGAAUGCGUGGUGUAGCGGUGAAAUGCUUAGAUAUCACGCAGAACCCCGAUUGCGAAGGCAGCCUGCCAAGCCAUGACUGACGCUGAUGCACGAAAGCGUGGGGAUCAAACAGGAUUAGAUACCCUGGUAGUCCACGCAGUAAACGAUGAUCACUAGCUGUUUGCGAUACACGGUAAGCGGCACAGCGAAAGCGUUAAGUGAUCCACCUGGGGAGUAC
rnacentral:rRNA from 1 species